CAACUACUCCCUCUGUCCCAAAUUUCUUGUCUUAGAUUUGUCUAGAUACGGAUGUAUCUAAUACUAAAAUGUGACUUGAUACAUCUGUAUCUAGACAAAUCUAAGACAAGAAUUUUGGGAUGGAGGGAGUACUUU
rfam:Triticum aestivum genome assembly, contig: Triticum_aestivum_CS42_TGACv1_scaffold_366885_4DS